GUGCUCACUUUGGCAGUACAUAUACUAAAAGUAGAAUGAUACAGAGAAGAAUAGCCUGGCCCCUGCACAGGGAUGACACACAAAUUCAGGAAGCAUUCCAUAUUUUU